CUUGGAGUUCAGGUUAUUGAUUCUUGAAUUUCUAUCUACACUAAGGUAAGGAGAUAAAAAUGGCGAACCUUAGUUUUUAAAUUUGAUGAUUGAGCAUGGAUUAUUUGUGGAAAUGAUUAUAUAAAUGGAAUAUUUCACUUGGGAGUUGAUUUUAUGGAACAAAAUGUAGAUUAAAUGGGUGGAAUUAUGGUUACUAGUUUCACUUGAUUGGAGAGUAAAAUUAGUUUUAAACUUGGGAAGAAGGUUAUGUUGAUAAUUAGUUAUUAGUCAAGAGAUUAUAAAGUGUGAUUAGCUCCAAUUAAUAAAGGAAAAUUUGAGAAUUUAUUCAAGUGUCACGAGAAUUUAAAUUAAGUUCUAUCAUUAGAUAUUAAAGUUUGUUGAUUAGAUAGAGGAUAAAUUGGUUAUUAAUAUCGUAUUUCAGGUGGUGACGAGGAAAUUGGAAACGUUUAUCAGGCAAUCUAGCUUGUAGCUCCUACCUUGUAAGUGGAUAAAACUUAUUUUUAAGAAAUAAGUCUUCUUUAAAUUUUAAUGUUAUUUAUUUUAUAAAGUUGACUUCAUAGCAUGAUUUUCAGAAUAAAAUGGACUUUAUUAUCAAUUGCUUUUAAAGUUAAAUUCAGUUCAGUUAAAUUAUUUUAGUAGCAUGUAUUAUAUUCUUAUUACAUAUUUCAGUAUAGUUAAAGUUAUUUCUAAAAACCACCAGAAAGUACCCAGAUGAUUUUACCCCAGUUUGCACUGAUGUGAAUGUGUUUCCAUAAUAUAUGACUAGUUAUAGUGAUUUUACUCGCUUUGCACUAUCGUGAAUGUGUUUUCAUAGUGUAUGACCAGAUUAUCAAUGAUUUUUGGGACCCACUCUCAUACACACAUAGGCUUUGGGCCGUGUACUAGGGUGAUUAGCCUUUGGGGCAGCUCUGCGUACGUAUGACCAGAUUAUCAAAUUAUCAAAUUUGAAUGGCUUUACCUUGUACAUCGAGAUUACUCUGUACAUGAGUAAGGCUAUUCAUUGGGUACUAUUUUUAGUGUGAUUUUUCAGUACUUAUUCAGUUCUCAGAUUUCAGAUUAUGGAAUUCAGUUAAUUCAGUUUUCAGAAUAAAGUUUUCAGCUUCUCG
rnacentral:lncRNA from 1 species